rnacentral:lncRNA from 1 species
GCGUAUUGCAGUUUAUGCCAUAGCGAAGUAUAGAGGAAACUCCUAUAAAAAUGGCUAAACUUAUGAAGAUGUUUUCAAAUAAACAGGAAAAGUACAUUAAAAGUUGCUCAGCUAUAUUUCACAUAUAAAAAAGAUACACUAAUCACAAAUAAGGUAAAACUAACUUGAUUGAAUUGUAGGUACUAAAUUAUUACUACAUGUUUACCUCUUUCUUCUAUAAUUAAUCAGCAAAAAAAUUAGAGUUCUCAUUAACAGGUAAAAAGUAUCUUUUUAUAAUAGCCGAAAAAUUUGUUGUUAGUCAUAAUGAUGUCUGUGGAAUCUGGACGAUAUGAACAAUAAUAUUGUCCAAAAUGAAGCAUCAUAAGCUGCAAAGUUAUAUAUAAAGGACUCCAAAAAUCAGCUAGCAGAUACAUUAUAAAAGGCAUCAAUCAAGUAGCAUUAGAGUUUUCUUAUCCCAAGUUUAUCCUUCAGUAAUGUGAUCAAUUUAUCAUCAAAGGAAGAUGGAUACAACUUGUUUUCAAAAAUAUCAAGCCGAAAAUCUAUUUCAACAUAGGAUUCUAAUGAGCUAUUUACUCUCUAUAAAAGUUCCAAGCCCCUCUUGAUGGCUCUUGCUCUUGUUGUUCAUCACAUGUUAUUUCCCUUCUAUAGAUAUAUUAACAAUACCUGAAAAAGUGAAGUCUUAUGCAAGCUAUUCUUACCCAAGUUUGAUUCUUUCCAAAUGGAUAAGCAAUAUCGUUCUAAGAAAUGGAGAAAAUACAGGCGAUGAGUCCAAAUUUCGAUCACAGAAAACGCAACUACUUGUUCAUACCCCAAAAAAGGAGUCAAGAAAGAAAUAUAAAGAGAGAAAAAUUGUACAUCUUCAAUCACUUUGCCACUUUUGGGCCAUCUCCCCUGUGACUCAAGCAAAUCUGGCUUUGAAAAGUUCACGUAGUACAUAUACUAAAAUAUGUAAAACUUCACAACUUUAUAUUUUGCAUCAAUGUAGGUCAAAAUAUCACUUACACGAAACUAAAACAGAAAACAUAUGAAACAUCACAGAAAGUUGUCAGCUAAGAUUAAGCAUGUGCAUUCAUAUACAUGACAAAGAUGCCCAUGUCUAGAUGAUAUUAUUAAGCUUAUAAUCAAUUUGGAUACUGUAACUUUGAGAGAAGCUCACACGAAAGGCUUGACGAAUCUAUUUAAUUCAUUAAAAUCUCAAGCAAGAAUUUCUUUUAAAUACAUCUUCAUGCAUGAAAAUGUUACCAAAAUCAAGUUCACAUGCCUUGCGAGAAUUCAUAACUAAUCUAGAAAGCUAUGGAAUUUGGUUACUUGAGAAGUUGAAAGCAUUGCUCCUUUAAACUAUGUGGUUACAUGUCAACUCUACUCUAACCCAUAUUUUUAUAUCAUUGGACACAUACUCAUGUUCAAAUAUAUCUCACUGUUAUCACAAAGUACCUGCAUAUAAAAUACGAAAUUGGAACCAGCAUGGAGCAAAAAUUGACUUCUUAACACUUGUAGAUCUCCUUCCCCAAGCUCUUAUCCUGGCCCUUUGGGAUGGUUUCAUCUAAAUGAAGCCAUGCAUAGGUAACUUAUAUUUUAAUGGGUCGUAUUGCCAUGUCAACUCCCAUUUAAUUACCUGCUAGCAAAAGUUGUUCUGAACCGAGUCAGUAAUUAGCUUUUUAUGCAUAGUGAAUUAACUAAAUAGUAUAUAAUACAUAAGAUAUUGUUCAAUAAUUAUGACUAGUAGAAGUAAUAUAGAUUUGGAGUUGCUAAAUGAUAGUAUAUUUAUGUUAUAGAACAACUGGAAAAAAAAGGAAUAAAAGCUCUUUCAGUUGUUUCAGGUUUAUUGUCAAACACUUUUGUUGCAUCAAAGUUCUUCCAUUUUUGUUACUACUAUUUAUUCUUGAUGACAAUUCAGUGCUUCCGUAGAAGAGUUCUAAAAAAUAACUACAUACAUGAAGAAAGAGAAGAAGCAAACAAAUAUCCAAAAUCACAUACUCUGUAGGAGUAUUAAAAAGAAAAACAAAGCGAAAUGCAAAGACACUUUCAGAGAGCGAGUGAAAAUUGUAAAUCAAUAAUCUUAUCAAAAAUAGAAUCGAACAUCUAAAUGCUCAUCAAGAAGAAAAAGAGAAGAAAAUCAGCAAAUCCACAUACAAAGGGAAACCACAAUAGAAAUUUUGAAAUGAAUCAAGAAUCCAUGGCCAAGAGACAAAAACACACAGGAUGACUGAAACUUAUUUUUUUCCCUUACAAAUCUUCUUCCAUAUGCGGAUAGCUUUGCACCGCAAUCAAAUGAAAUUUUGCGAAAUAUGGAGGAAAAAUGAAUCAUCAACCCUCUUAUCUGAAAACUUAAGAAUGUCCUGAAAGAGAACAAGUGAAAGAAGAAAGCUGCUCAUGACACCUAUAGCACUCAUGUCUGCCAUUAAAGCAGUAUACAUACUUCGAAUGAAGAUCAAAUAUGAAAUUACUCCUAAAAUAAUUCAUAAUUUCGAGAAUACAACCUAUUUCACCCUUAAUCGGAACCUUUAAAGAACAAAAUUUUUCCACUAAACACCCCAAUUUACACAAUCAAGAUCAGAAACAAAGAGCAUGCACUAAGGCAUUUCUUUUUCUGACAACGCUAGUAUAUGUGGUACAAUGCACCUAGAUAUUUCUUUCCAGAGAUGCAUAUCAAAAUGAGAUAGAAAAUCUAGCAAGAAAUUAUUCAAAAGAAUAGAGAAACCAACAUCGAACAAAAAUAGACAAAACUUCAAAGAAAUCCAGAACACAACACAAGGAGAAAAAAAAUCGGGGAAAAAACUUAUAAAACUUAAUAAACACAAUAGACGCUAGAAAAUUGAGGCAAACAACAUGAAAAAUCACAAAAAGACAGAAUUCAUGUAAGAAAUAUGAACAUAGACAGAGGAAAAAUCUCAUACUCAAAGGAUCCAAAGAAGCCCAGACGAAUUGUAAAACUCAUUGAACUUGCAGAGUGUGCGAAGGAGAGAGAAUUAGAGGAGUUGUAAUAUGUUUGCACUCUGCAAA